UGCUGUCGGGCAGGGGCACCCCCCUAACCCCUGCACUGAGCAGUCUGGUUUUAGAACCUGUAAGCGAAUUGUGCUUUAUCCUGGGAGCCUGCCUGAAGCUCACCUAAACACCGGAUCAGGCUCCAGGGGUCAAAGGGAGGGGCCUAAAGGAGCCGCAUUCAGAUUCAGGCAUGCAGACCCUCUCAAGUUUCAGGGUCCAAAGAGAAGACUCCAGAGGAGCCCAGCAGACAGGCACUGCGGUAACUAUUGCUGAAAACAGCAGGACCCCUGCCAUCUCCAUCCGAAAGGAAACAUUUAAAUUCCUGUACCAAGU
rnacentral:lncRNA from 1 species